rnacentral:rRNA from 1 species
AUUGAACGCUGGCGGCAGGCUUAACACAUGCAAGUCGAGCGGGGACUUCGGUCCUAGCGGCGAACGGGUGAGGAAUGCUUGGGAAUCUGCCCAGUAGCGGGGGAUAACGUUUCGAAAGGAACGCUAAUACCGCAUACGCCCUACGGGGGAAAGGGGGGGAUCUUCGGACCUCUCACUAUUGGAUGAGCCCAAGUCGGAUUAGCUAGUUGGUGGGGUAAAGGCCUACCAAGGCGACGAUCCGUAGCUGGUCUGAGAGGAUGAUCAGCCACACUGGAACUGGGACACGGUCCAGACUCCACGGGAGGCAGCAGUGGGGAAUAUUGGACAAUGGGCGAAAGCCUGAUCCAGCCAUGCCGCGUGUGUGAAGAAGGCCUUCGGGUUGUAAAGCACUUUAAGCGAGGAGGAAUGGCUGAGGGUUAAUAACCUUCAGCAGUGACGUUACUCGCAGAAUAAGCACCGGCUAACUCUGUGCCAGCAGCCGCCGUAAGAC